GACGAACGCUGGCGGCGUGCUUAACACAUGCAAGUCGAACGCUGAAGCUCAGCUUUUGUUGGGUGGAUGAGUGGCGAACGGGUGAGUAACACGUGAGUAACCUGCCCCCUUCUUUGGGAUAACGCCCGGAAACGGGUGCUAAUACUGGAUAUUCACUGGUCUUCGCAUGGGGGUUGGUGGAAAGUGUUUUUCUGGUGGGGGAUGGGCUGGCGGCCUAUCAGCUUGUUGGUGGGGUGAUGGCCUACCAAGGCUUUGACGGGUAGCCGGCCUGAGAGGGUGCCCGGUCACAUUGGGACUGAGAUACGGCCCAGACUCCUACGGGAGGCAGCAGUGGGGAAUAUUGCACAAUGGGCGCAAGCCUGAUGCAGCGACGCCGCGUGAGGGAUGGAGGCCUUCGGGUUGUGAACCUCUUUCGCUCAUGGUCAAGCCGCAACAAUGGUUGUGGUGAGGGUAGUGGGUAAAGAAGCGCCGGCUAACUACGUG
rnacentral:rRNA from 1 species